UACGUAGGGUGCAAGCGUUAAUCGGAAUUACUGGGCGUAAAGCGUGCGCAGGCGGUUUUGUAAGUCUGUCGUGAAAUCCCCGGGCUCAACCUGGGAAUUGCGAUGGAGACUGCAAGGCUAGAAUCUGGCAGAGGGGGUAGAAUUCCACGUGUAGCAGUGAAAUGCGUAGAGAUGUGGAGGAACACCGAUGGCGAAGGCAGCCCCCUGGGUCAAGAUUGACGCUCAUGCACGAAGCGUGGGGAGCAAACAGG
rnacentral:rRNA from 1 species